AUUUACAUAGUUUAAAUAAAACCUUACAUUUUCAUUGUAAAAAUGAAUUGUUUCUGUAAAUG
rnacentral:tRNA from 1 species